AUUUCUCUCCAGAAGCAGAACGUGAGUCACACGAGGGCUGAUCCAAAAGGGCCAUACGUGCACUGUGAUCUAGUGAAGUUUCCUUGGAAUACAGGAAGCUGCCCUUAGGAAACGUCUCAAGAUAAAGUGGUUGCUUUCCCUGGAAAGCAUCUCUGACGCAGAUGGAACGAGUGCUUCUGAAGUAAGGAAUGAAGAGGGUGUUUGUGGAAAAACAUUAGGUAAUGCCACGUCAGGCAUCUAGCCCUGCUGGGAGAUUUCUGGACACCCUCGGCAGCUACAGGCAAAGCGCAGCCCUGCAGUAACGCGCUUCUGCGAUAAGUCAGCACCGCCACUAGAAGAGGAAGUCCCACCCCUCCCUCUGCUCUUUUCUACAGAUUCCUGCUUCGACUUAAAGCUACAUUAAAAAAAAAAAAAAAACAUACCACAACAUAAAGAAUAGUUUCCUGUCUGAUCCAACCGGGCCUUCAACCAUCAGCAGCCAGAGCCAAGGGGCAGAAACAAGUCUUUCCUCCCUGGGGGAGACAUUCCAGUCUUGCAAAGUGGUUCCUUGGAGGGCAGUGACAGAGUUUCAGGCAAUACAGCUCAAGAACAAUAUGAGUCAAUUGGAGAGCUCCCAGAGAAGAAGCAGCAGAAAUGAUGAGAAGGUUGAAACCGUGACCUGCAAUGGAAAAAUGGAACAAACUGGAACUUCUUAGCCUAAACAACAGGAAACUGAGAAGAAUAUGAUAAGAGACAUGAAAGAAAUGAAAGACCAUUGAAAAGAACAAUUUUUUUUUCUAUGGGACAAGAAGCAAUGGGCUUUAAUUACAGUAAAGAAGAUUCAGUGUACAUACAGGAAAACUAUAGAAAUAGAUAAUGAAUAGGAAAAGAUUGCUGUGAAGGAUGGUGUAUGGAGACCUUUAAGGUUAGAGAAAUAUCAGUCAGGAACAUUUGAGGCAGAACCGGUCCUAUAUAGGACCAAUGAGGCCAAUGGCAUCUUGAAUUCCCUUCUACACAAGCGUGUUACAGGUGCAGGGCAGACAACAUGAAGGAAGCACAGAAUUAACCAGGACUAGCUAAGAGUAAAAUACAGUAAUCUAGUAAAUUACAUAGCAUCAGAAUUAGGGAAAAGUCUCACUGGCCUGUUUCCUUUACCUUCACAGCCAAGCUAAGAUCUGGGCUCUGAGUAGUGACAUAUUUCUGAUAAUCUUUGAGAAACUUAAGAGUUACUGCGAGUAUGCAGGCUUGCUGCUGGGAAGUGGUUUACAGAGUUGACUGGUAGAAAAAAAAAAUAUUGAAAACUGUGGAGCCUUCAGAUCCAGUCUGUGAACCAUGGGUUAUGCUUGGCUGUUUGCUGUGGCUCUUUCUUGAAUGAAAAUAGUGUUGUAAUAUUGUAAAGUAGUGAUAGGAAUAGACUUUUUUUUUUUUUUUUUUUUAAUUCAGCCUCAAAAUGAAGGCCUUCUUUUAAGUUGGGUAGCUGAGUGCACAAACAGUCUGAAUUCAUACAUGCUAACUCUUCCAAAUGAUGGUCUCAUGCAAAUACUCAGAUUGCACACAGGCAUCGGGCUCUGUGCAUGCAUCUUAGAGACUCAGAAAGCUUUUGACAUGACGUGCUGAGCAAAUUGCAGAUUGAAGACUACAUGAAAAGCUUGUUACUCAGCCUUCAUUCACACGUAGCAUCUGUUGCAUCUAAAUAAAUAUACUUCCUUCUACUUUCCUUCCACUUGGUACUAAAGUAUACUCCUUUUUCCCUUAAUUUGUAGUUCUGCUUUUACAUAGCACAGUCAGAAUUAGACACAGAUUUUUGAGUUAGAGGUAGCUAUAGCUAAGGGGCUUCAGACAGACAGACUGACCCCAAAGGAGGGUUCAGCAGGAGCAGGAUGAUGGCCUGGACAUCGGGUCAUCUGCAGCUGCAGUAUUCCAAAAUACUGCCACAAGACACCAACAAGGAAAGAGUAUGAAUGCAUACCCUAAACAUUUCCAUAGUGGAGCUCAAUAGCUGUUUCAUCUACUUCAGGGAUUUUUAAGAUGAGGCGGGGUUUUAUGUCAUCUAGCUUGACCUCCUGUUUAACAAGCACAACGGCAUUUUACUGAGCUAGUUAGUGCUGUGCCCAAAAUCUCAUGUUUAUUGGAAGGAUUUUCCACAAAGAAGUCCAGUCCUGAGCUGAAGACUUGAAGGAAUGGAAAAUCUACUGCUUCCCGUGCUCGCCUGUUCCACUGGUUAAUCACUGUCACAGCUCAACAAUUGUGCCUUAUUUCUCGUGUGAGUUUUGCCUGGCUCCAGCUCUCAGCCAUCUCUUCUUGUUAUGUCUCUCCACUAAACUUAAGAGACUUGUUAUUUCUUCCCUGUAAGAAUAAUUUUU